GUGAAUCAUCGAAUUUUUGAACGUAUAUUGCACUCUCUGGUAUUUCGGAGAGUAUGCCUAUUUGAGGGUCAUUUGAAAUAAUAUAAAUUCCAAGAUUUCCCGGAAUUUAAAAUGGGUUGUCCAUUUUUUGUGGUCCUUUAAAAUCCAAGACUAGCCCAUUUACCUGGAUUGCGUGUUACUUUCAGUUACCUCGUGACUUAACCAGGUAUCAUAAGGAUUUUUAUGCAUUUUGCAAGCGUUAAAGAAUCCA
rnacentral:misc_RNA from 1 species